AGAUCACCGAACCACCUUUAACUAGAAAAAUAUCAGAUGACGACUUACGCGCAAUGGUUCAAAAUGUUCCUGAAAAUAUAGAGCUAUCCAAAUAUCCAUGUCACACUCAAGCCGUCGAAAGAUGCAUUAAGCUGGUGACAGAAGCUUCAGCUUCAGUGUGUGGCCGAGAGUCAAGAGAUGGAUUUAUAAAAGCAAGAAUCUCAUCUCGAAAGCCGUUGCCAAAAUUUGAAACGAAGAAGGAAUUUGCUAAGGCUUAAGAAAAAUGAUCCAUCUUUUUUUAUUUAUUUGAUUAAAAACGAUUUGUAACCUCAACCCCACACCCAAAACAUGAAUUGAAUAGAACACCUAUUGGUAUAAUAGUGUAAGGGUAUUAAUUUGGAAAAUGUAUUUUUUUUUACUAAAACAUGUAAUUUAUUUUUUUUUGCAUUCAAAA